UCCGGCCGCCCCAGACCGCCGCACCGGUCCCAAUUGAUCGGUCUUCAACCCAGCAACCUUCUUGGACCGGUGACAGCUCCCCUAGCGCCGCCGUGAGGGAGAUAUCGAGCCCGAGAGGUCCGACUGUGUUAGGGAUCACGUCGCCGGAACUUCCUCCUCCGGCCACCAAUCCGGGCAAGCUUGGUACGGUUUUGUAGCCCUCCAACCCAGCAGCCUUGCCCUAAACGGACUCACUCCCUCUUGAGCUAGGUAAGAAGAAAUUUGAGGUGGAAGUUUUAUGACGUUUUUGAUGUUUUUAGUCGAUUACCCUAGAUAGGCUUGGAAUUGGUGUUUGUGCUAGUUAGGAAAGUUGUAGAGCUUGAUGAGAGGAUUAUUCUGUCAAAAUUUCAUAGGUUUUGGAGGUCGCCGGAAUUGGCCUCCGGCCGCCGCUGCCGGCGGAGCCGGCGCCGGCGCCGGCGCCGGUUAGGAGAUUUUUAGGGUUUUAAGUGUGGAAUAUUAAGAGGAGUAUAUUGAUGUGAUUUAUGGAAUUUUUGGAUGAGAUUUGAAUAGGUUUUUGAAUUUCCGAAAUUUGGUAUUUUUGGCGGUUAAUUAAUGUAGAAUCCGGUCGUAGGAUUUAAGUCGAAUUUUUGGAGAGGUUGUAUUUGCAACUGUUGAGUAUGAUAUUUAAGUUUGGAUCGUUCCGAUUUAAGAAUAUCGAAGUUAGGCAAUGAUGAGCGUAUUUAUGGCUCUCGGGUAAUUUUGCCUAUUUUGAUUAAAUAUCGGAUUAUUGGUUGGGAAAUUAAUAUUAUAUUUGGAACAGGACAUGAGGAGGCUCGAGCAGACGAGGCCCCAGAUCGACAGCUGGCUUAGGCCUAAUUUGUGAGUGGACGUUUAUUUUAAAUAAAUGCAUGCUAUAGUUCAUGGUUGAACAAUUAAUGUUGCGGAAUAUUUUAACGUCAUUUUAAUUUGACGAUUUUUAUUUUCUCUUGGAGAGCUACCGAAAAUGGGAUUUUCGGUGGAUAUUAAUAUGUAUUUAUGAGAGAGUAUGUAUAUAAAUGCUAGCUAGCCAUAUGUGUCUGUCCACCUUAAUGGCGUAGCAUAUAGCCGCAUUAUGGUGUGACGUGAACGUUGGACGUAAGCGUAGUAGCCCUAUUUGAGUGUUUAAUUCAUAUAGGGGGUAUGGACACAUAUUUAUACACCCGUCUGUCCACCUUGAUGGCGUAGUGUAGCACCGUAUUAAGGCGUGACGUGAGCGUUGGACGCGAGCGUAGUAGCCCUAUAUAGACCCAUGAAUUUAUAUAGGGAGUAUGGACGAGUGUAAAUACAUACAUAUAUUAUAGAGUAUGAGAGGCUCGAUAUUUUAUGGGAUAAAAGUUUUAUCGCUUGCGGCAUGCAUUCGAUUUUUCCUUAGAAAUUAAUUUGGGGAAACAUAAAUAUUUUAUUUAUUAUUUUAUUUUAUUUUUGUCCACUCACUCUAACGUUAUUAAAUGUUUUCCCCUGGGCCCUUCGUUUUAAAUUGCCCAGUCUGCAGAGUUCGGGUUGGAUCUAGUAGGAGACGAGGCAUAGUCACCCGCAUUUCUACCAGUUUUCGUCAGUAGGUUACCUGUUCAACCUACUCGUGUCUUCUUACUUCUGCUUGUGUUUAGUAGCUCUGAAUACUUUGAGAUUAUUGUAUAUUGAGUGUUGAAUUAAGAGUGUAAUAUGAAAUUUUUGAGUUAGGGUUGUCCAUCUGCAAGGGAGAUUUUCUUAAUCUUUUCAGUAAAUUUUCCUUGGAGGUGGUCCCCGCACGACUUACUCCGGGUUUCAGGGUGAAAUUCGGGGUGGGUCGUGUCACCACUACUUUCCGGAAACAAUCAAUCAUAGCUCUAUGUGCCUCUAAAAAGUCCAUACCCAAGAUUACAUCAAACUCCACAAUAUCUAAUGGAAUCAAGUUAACUUCGAAACUAAGACCCUCCACCAACACUUCACAACCUCUAAAUACCCAAUCUAUCUUCAUCACUUCACCGGAGGGCAAGGAAACCUGCCACUCGCCUAGGAGUGGCGAGGAUGGCACAUUGGCGAGAAAUGAAAAUCUACUAGACAUAAAAGAAUGCGUCGCUCCAAGGUCUAUCAAUAUAAAAGCAGGAUGACAGAAAAUUAACAACGUAUCAAUGAUGACAUCCGGGGAGGUACGUCCCUCAUGCUGCGUCAUAGCAUGGAGCUUAGCAUGCGUAGUGGUAGGGCGACCGCUCUGUCCUCUGCCCUACUGAAAGUUGCCUCUCGCUGGAGCCAUGACCAGCUGAUGUCUGACCCAUGGCCUGAGUAGGAGCAUAUAUGACUCCCUGAGUCAAAAGAGGACAAUCCCUCUUGAAGUGAUCCAGCUGACCACAGAGAAAACAUCCCCCUGGCUGAAACUGACUCUGUCUAGACUGAAAAGACUGUCCACCAGAAGUCCCACUCCUACUGCUCGAUCCACUCCUGAAUUGCCCAAGCUGACGCCCUAUAAAAUUCUUGAAGGAUCUACUACCAUGCCUCUUGAAUUUCCCUCUAAAACCAGAGCCAGAACUCGAACUGCUACCAUGUCCACUGCCAGUAGAUGAUCCAGAACUAGAGGUGGACGCCAAUUUCUUUGAUGAACCCUGGCUAGGACCAGCACAAUCAUGAAGACGGCCAGCUGCUAACUCUUGUGCCUCUAUAUUAAUAGCAAAAGUCACUGCCUGGUGAAAUGACUGAUAUGGCACAGCUGUCAUCCUGUUUGCAUAAAUACCACCAAGGCCCUUGGUGAACUAAUAAAUCUUCUCCUGCUCUGUCUUCACCAAAUCAAGCACAUAAUAUGACAACUCCCGAAAUCGCUGCUCAAAAGCCAUCACCGUCAUAUCAUAACUCUUCUUCAGGUUCAGGAACUCCUCUCUCAUUUGGUUGACAUGAGCAUGACUAAUAUAUCGCUCUCUAAAAAGAGCUGUAAACUGAUCUUAGGUCAUAUGAUUAGCAGCAUCCAAGAGCUCAACAGCAUGGCUAAACGCUCUAGCUCCAUUCUUGUAUGCCCUAUCAUAAUUUAUCUCAGGGACCAUGCUAGUGCUAAAACACUGAAAGAACUCCUCCAUGGCAUUUAUAAAACCACUCUGUGCUUCCUCAUCAUCCCCCCCUAGAUGAUUCUGCCUAGGAGCUCGGCGAGGAGGCAUGUUAAUUACCUGAGAAUAAAAUAUUUAGCACAAGAAACAAGGAAAAGACAACUACCCACAUACUUAAUAAACACUUAGCAUCCAAGCAUAAAAUGCUAAUGGAUCCGCCGCGGUCGGACCAUCACUCUAAUGACACUAAGUGUUACUAAGCAUAUAUGGUAGUGAUAAGGAAAGACAGGAAUCGGAUAACCUAAUGCUCUGAUACCAAUUGUCAGGACCUACCCUGGAUUUCCCCUUGAAAUCCGGAAUAAACCCUCUGGGACCCACCUCAAGGGAAAUUCUACCAAAAUUUUGGCAUAACCUCUCUUGAAAAUGAGUAACCCUACCUGAAAGAAAAUCACUAAAAACCCAAACACUUCUAAAACAAUUUAAUCCACAUCUCCUGGGACCACCCGCUCCCCAAAUAAACAUCCACCGCCUCAACAAAAGUAAUAAUUCAAAAUAAUUUCAUGAAUUUAAGUUCUCAUACAAACAAACCAAAUGAAUCUUUUUUAUCACUUCUACGUGGAGUCAUAAGCUCUUAACACACAUCAACAUAAAUUCAUUUAAGAUAUCCCAUGGUUAUCAGAGAAACUACUAGAAAACGAAAAAAAUACACAAAUAGGUUAAACAGGAAACCUAUGAAUAAAAACUGGAAGUGGUGGAAAAUAUGACUCGCCUCCUACACUCGCCGAACUGAACUCUGCAGAUUGGGCAUUUAAAAACAAAAGGCCCAGGGGAGAAGCAUUUAAAAUGUUAGCGUGAGUGAACAAAAAUAAAUAAUAAAAUAUUGACUUAUUGAUAGAGCUUUAAAAUCAAAAUUAAUGUUUUUCCCAUAUUUUCCAUUUAGAAAAAUAUUUAUGCAUGCCACUCUUGGAAAUUUUCCCGAAAAUAUAUAUAGACAAAAGAAUGAACCAAUCCCAUUGGUUCCCAAUAAAUCAAUAAAAAUGGGGAAGAAGUUUCACCAUAACGAUGAGCCUCCCAAGCUAUAAUAGCGUCCCACGCUAAGCGCUCUACUCACCUAUGGUGAGUAGUCGCUAGUAAUGGUUAGCUAAUAUAUAAAUAUAAAUACCGAUCAGUUGCCUCCCAGGUUAUAAUAGCGUCUCACGCUACGCGCUCUACUCACAUAUGAAGAAGACCGCUAAUAAGGCUAUUAUAACGAUUCACAUAUGAUGAGGACUGCUAAUACGGUUUGAUAACAAUAAUCAAUAUAAAUCAACCCUUUUAUGGUGAAGUAAAAUAAUAAAUGAUCAAGAAUAUCACUUUCCCAAAAAUAAUAUAAAAUCCAUUGAGCUUAGUUGUAAUGAUCUCAUUUUUUUUAAAUAGGUUAUUUAAUUUAAUUGUUUUUAUUUCUUUUUCUUGGUGUGUUUUAUUAUAUGAUUAAGAAUUGAUUCUUUUUAGUAUGGUAAAUAUCUGAUUGGGGUUAUUAGCUUAUGUUAUUAAACAUGUGUUAACUUUUCUUAAAUAUCUAGCUAUACUAGAAGCAUCUAACGCCUAAUCUAGAGUAAUACACGUUGCCUAAUCCUCUCCCUCCAGGUGUCCCUGAUCGAUUUCUCUCGAACAUACCAGUCAGUCUUUCUUCCUCUUCUCUUUUCUGUUCUUCCACUUUCCCGCAAAGAAAUUGGUGUUCCUUCUCACUCAAAGGCUGUGUUUGAACAAUAGCUCUCAAAGGAUUUCUUUGAAUCCCCUUGUCUAAGAGUCUCUGAAGUUCUCCAUUUGAAACAGGCACAGCUUUAUGGCUGCAAGUGAGUUUUCUGAUCUUCCAUAAUUUUCAUCUCUGAUUAGACUACUUCCAAAUGGAGGGGAGUAUGAUUCGUAUCUAAAAAUUCCUUGAUAGGUGGCUGGAUUGCGAUAGUAGAUUGGGUGUUUGAUUUUGAGCUCGGAUUGCUUUGACGAUGAUGUAAAUUGGAUUUGCUGUCGUUUGAAUUGGGUGAUGGUAUUUGGAGUUUGCUUGAGUUAUCUCUUGAAGUUUUGGCUGCUGAUUGCUUGGACUUGAGGUAGGGAAAACAAACUUUUUUUUAUAGCUUUGAUUCUUAUUUAAUAUGUGAUUGGGGUGAUUGUAUUGGAAUAUCUUCUCUGCUACUUUUCUGUGAGUGCAAAUUGAUAAGCAUGGUACCCUUGUCUUAUGUUGAAUAGAAAUUUUAUUGAGUUUCGAUGCUUCUUUGAUUCAGGGUAGUAAGUACCCUUUGGUUUGUGUCUAAUCUUGAUACGAUCGCUUUGAGUAUCUUUGUUGGAAUUCAUUGAAGAGCAGACAAUGCUCUUUCCCUAUCCAAAUCCUUCUGAUCAUGUGGACUGCUGGUUUCUAUCUGAUUAUAUCAUCUAAAGUGGUUCUAUUGAAUACCCAGUCUAUGUCUAUUUGUCUUACUCUACUGCUUUGGGACUUUGAGUGCAGCUGUAUAUUGUUGUUUCUGAAUUAUUUCUGAUCCUAGUCUUGUUGUUCGUUGGUGUUCAUAACUCAGUUUGUACCAAGCUCCUCAUUUAUACAUAAAGCUGAUUCUUGUUUUGUUCUCUACAAGUUAAAAGGAAGCUUUUUAAAUAUGACUUUACUUGUAACAAAAGUUCAAUUCCUUGCUUAUUCUUUUGGUCCUGAGUUCCUUUCGAAAAGGGUUAAAUGAUAUAACUGGGCUUCUCUCUUGCAACUAUUCUACUUCUAUGUUUUACAUCAUGGUGUCAAUUAUCUUAUUUGAACUGAUUUUUGAAAAUCGAUCAAGUACUACUCUUUCUCAUAAACAUCUGAUUUCAACCGAGACUUGAUACUUGUGCUCUAUCUAUCUAUAUGCUUGGUCUUUUAACUCUGAAAUGAUAUCCACUUUCGGGUUAUAGUAUGUUCAAACUUUCUUAUCAAGUUGGUGUUCUAUAAAUAUCCUUUUUGCCAUAUUUUUGUCCAAAUUAAUUCAGCCCUUAUUUUAAUUGACAAAGCAUGUUGAAAUACUCUCAUACUCAUGAUCUGACUAAUAUGAAUAUGUAUAUCUCAUUAAAGUUUUGUCUAUACCAGAUGAUCUUCUACCUAUCAUAAAAUUUACUGAUUAUAAAGGGUUUGCUCUUCUAGAUCCUACUUACAAAAUAUAUGUGUUCAUGCAUUUUGGAAAGGUUAGUUUUCUAAAGUAUUUCCUGUCUCGUUCUAGCCAAAUGGUGAAUUAAAUUGAUUAUUCUUGUGAUUUCAUAACAGCAAAGUUCCAGUGUUUUAUAUAGCCAAUUUAUCGACUUACUCUUGUUUUCAGUGUAUAAUCCUCAAACCUAGAAGAGCUGUUAUAUGUUGCAUAUUUUCUACACUUUACCUUUUUAAAGUACAGUAAAUGUUAUUGCGCCCUUUCAAUACCAAAAGGCUAUUUUGUUUCCAGUAUAUAUACUUUCAAUCCAUAUGGAACUAUGAAUUCCAAAUCCAUUUGUAUAUGGCUGUACUUGAGUUCAAUUCAUAAUACUUGAUCCUUGGUUUUGGUACAAAAUCGUAUAUUAGUAUCUGCGUCAUGUUCCUUGGUAUUAAAAAUCUGGUCUCCUAUAUGCAGUUUCAUACGAAGUCCUCAAAGCAGUUCCAUUUAUGAAAAUACAAAGUCCCAUCUCUGAUUAGUCUUAUAUGGGUUUACCUCUUUCAAAAUGUGCUCUUGUUGAUAAUAAACUAAGCUGCUGCUAUAACUUGCAAUCUUAUCGGUGUUUCAUUGAUUUGAUCUUCAUUAACGGAUUUGGUCUGUUGAAAUCCUGAUUUUUGAAAGGAAAGAGAUUUGAAUUACAUUAUCAUUUUCUGGGCAGAUUCUUCCUUCAUUCUGUAAAGGGAUUUCAAGUUUCUUUCUGAUAUCCCUGAUUGUUCAGCUUCGUUUGGAAAGCGAUUGGAUUUCAAAUGUUUUUAUUUGGUUAGGCCUGGUUUAAAGUUAAGUAGGGAUUGGGCCUCCCUAGGGUGAAUAGACCCAAAACUUGAUCAGGAUACUGCAUGUGCGGGGUUUGCUCGGUUGUAUAGCUGGGCGGUGGGCUCUAACCGGAAUUAUAAGGAUCUGCCAAUUUCGAUUGAAAGAAAAGUUUCAAAUGAAGUUGCUGGAAGUUGUGGUUUGAUAGAGAAAACAGUUUUCUGGGAUUUGAACGUAUUAUAUGAAGCUGAAAAGCUUUAAGGUUUUUACUAUACUUUUAUUACUUUCAGAAGUACCUGUUAUCUGUUAAAUCUUCUGUCAAAUGACCAUUGAUAUCAGACUUUUACAUGUUGAUCCAUAUGAUACUGAGCACUCUUUCAGUUGGAAAACUUUGAUAUCUUUAACUUCACUGAUAUAUUUGAGGAGUGUUUUCCUGGUCAUUCAUUAUCAUUUUUGAAUCAAUGUUUCUUUUCUAAAAAUGCAGCAGUAACUAUUUGAGUCUUAGCCUCAAUUAUGUAGUCAUGUUCAUUCAAUUCAUGAGCAUUGAAAGCAUAUCUCCAAUCUCUCAUGUUCAGUCGCAUAUUGGAUUUGAGUCUUAGUUAUAAAGAUUAUUUUGUUGUACCUACUGAGCUUGUGAAGCUCAUUCCCUAUAUUCUUGUGUUGUUUUCAGGUAGUCUAAAAGUGGACAAGUUAAUGAUAUUGAUGUCUUCUUGAGCUGAAGUUUUGGUAUUAUUCUGUGAUGGUGUUAGCUGUGCUUCACUUGUGUCCGAGUCCUUGUGUUCUCUUGGACUGGAUUGCGUGGUUACAUUUAAAUUGAGUAUGUUGUUGAUGUUAUCUUGUUUUAAAGGUUAGAACUUCUAUGUAGCUUUGAGGCAGCAAUCUGGUAAAGGUUUUGGUACCAAUGUGAUGGAUGGUUUUGAAGUGUAAAUAUUGUAUUGAACAAACUGUAGGGUUGUAUCUAAACUAUUUCUUAUCAGAUUUUAAUGUUUCUUUUGUAUCUUUAAAAGCAAAGGAACAAAGGAGUUACGUGUGUUUAAAGUGAUGCAAAACCAUUUGUUUACUGCCCUGUUUUUAAAAGGUUUGGUUAUGGAAGCACACAAAUGUUCUUGAGAUGUUUAUUUGGAAACUUCAGACUAGUUGGUUUUAACAAAUGGCUGCAUCUUCCAAGUACAACCGACUACUUUUCAGUGUUACAUAUUCCUACAAAUACAUGAGAAGUUUAACUUCCAAGUUCAAUCUAGUUACUUGUUACUAAAUGCUAACAAAAUGAUUUUCCCUUUAAACCUAGCUCACCAAAGUUUUAGUGCCUUUGUUUAAGCAAUCGGGAUCAUAGACAGACGUCCGCAAACCCGUAAAAGUGCGGACAUCCCUGCUUUUGCAGCAAUCAACCGCCGACGACAUCUCUUCUCUUGCCGGAUGGACACCAGAGGCAUCCCGGACCUGUUUAACUUGAAGAUGAAGGCCAUGGAGAUCAGAGUUGAAGGUCUGGGUAGCAACCUCCACCCAAAAUUUCAAACAAUAUCAAUCUCGGCUGCAAACUGAUAUUCGGCGAGUCCGCUGGCAAGAGGAAGCUCACAAUCGACGUCUGGUGUCUAUCUGGGAAGAGAAGGGCUGUCUCCGGCACUUGAUCGCUGCAAAAGCAGGGACGUCCGCAUUUUUACGGGUUUGCGGACGUCCUCUUCUGAUCCUGUCCCUUGUUUAAGUUCUUGCUAAUGUUGCAUUUUAACUUUUAAAAAAAAUAAUAAUAAUUUCUCAGGUUUUCUAUUUUCAACUUAAUCCAUCACAUUUAGUCAUACCUUAAGGUCAGGGUGUGACAUUAGUACAGUCCCUAACCGUACCUAGAAAUAUUGUGUAAUAAUAUAAAUCACUUGACAUGACAUGUCCCACAUGUCAAAUAAAAUGCUCAAGAGAGUUCCCGAAAAAUAAAUGAAACUCAUUAAUCAAAGAAAAUAAUAAAUCUCUAAAAUGCCUUUGAAAAUUAAAUAAACUUUAAUGCAUGCAUGGCAUUCAAAUCAAAGCUCCACUCACAGUGCUCGGCUAUGCUUGCCGACGACCUGAGGCUUCCUCCAAAUGAUCCUCCUCACGUCCUGAACAAUAAAUAAUUAUUAAGCCUCCGGACUAGGAUAAUGCUUUAAUAAAAUUCUGAAAUAAAAGGAAGUCUAUAAUUUCAUAUUUCUUGCCCAACUUCUCCACUUUUAAUCUAAUAAGGCUCACACUACUCCACACUUACCGAUAGCCAAAAAUUAACCUUUUUGAAGUUUAAAUCUUGUUAAACGAACUGUCGGAUUUCCAUUCGAAUAACCGUCUAAAUCCUUAAUCAUUGAUAAAUCCCAAACCUUAUCAAAACUCCUCCAAAAAUUUCAAACUAUACUUCAUUAAACUCCUCUCAUUAUAACAAACCCGAAAACAUGCAAAACAACCUCUAAGUAGCAGCGCCGCCGCCUGCUCUGCCGGUAGCCGAACUCCGGCGAUGACCAUUGCCUCUCAAAUUUUAACAGAGUAAUUCUCUUAUUAUGCACAACAACUUUCAUAACUAGCACCUAGUCUAAUUCUAAGGCUAACUAGGGUAAUCGAACCAAAACAUCAAUAAAUCCCUAGAACUUCAAUUAAACAUCUCUCCUUACCAAGAUCGAAUUAAGUCGAUUCCUUUUGAGGGAUCACUAACCUUGAUGAGAGCUACAAUAUGAGCUAAAAAUCACGAGCUAUGGUGACCGGAGGAGAGAACUCCAGCGAAGGGGCAGCCGGCGUUUCUGGCGGGUUUUCUCCUAUCUGGCAGCGCUACCGGCUCGGACACUAGGCCGGGAAGAGAGAGGAGACAGCGGGGGUCUGAACUGGAGUGGAGAGAUGGUUGGUGGCUGGCCGGACGGCGGCAGCUGGUGGCAGAAAGUCCCAGCGAUAAAGAGAGCUCGGGGAAGAGUUCGGGAGAAAGAGAGAGGGAAGAGGGAGAGAGAGAGAGAGUGGAGGGGGUGUUGGGCUGCUCCACACCCGGUCCAACACUUAAACCCAAAAUUAAAGCCUAUCAAAAUUACCCAUUUUUUACCAACUCAAAAUUUACCCUUUUAAUUGAUAACUUUUUCAUGCUAACUCCGAUUUUAAUGCAUAGCAUGUCUACGAACUCGUAUUAACGUCCUCUACGAUUUUCAUGAAGAAAGUUUUCCCAAAUUCCAAACGGAAGAAAAAGUCAACUCUUAGAGUCUUAAAUAGUAAACGGUUACUUAAAACGGUAAAAGACCAAAAUAAUACCAAAGUAAAUAACCGUAAAAAUAACUUAAGAACAGGGGUGUGACAUUAUUAUUGCUAAUUGUGAAGUUGUCCUUGAAAGAAAAUGAUUUUGUUUUUAAAUAUAAAUGAGCUUUAUCGUCAACGGCUCAUGAUAACUCAUGGUAAGUGAAAACAAGUUUCUUGUUAAUAAUAUAAUCUUUCAAAAGGACUUCCGAUCAUGAGUCAUAAUUACAGUUGGUAUGUCAGGACCCACCCCGAAUUUCACCCUGAAACCCGAGGUAAGUCUUGUGGGGUCCACCUCUAAGGAAAAUUUACCGAAAAUUUGGUAUAAUCUACCUUGAAAAUGGACAACCGUUACCUGAAAAAUCCUAGAUAACACUUCUAUUAUUAUUCAUCCAUCCUCAACUCUUGAAGCCUUCCUGCUCCCUAAGUUCAUCAUAUCUCUCAAUAUAGCAAUUUCUCAUCUAAAAUAAUUCCACAACCAACAACAGACAAUUAAUAAUUUACUGCUAGACUUUCAAAGCAUAUCUAAAGAUGAACGAAAAACAAUGGAUAAAGAAUGAGUGGAAGUAGCCUCUAACUAUGCCUCGACUCCAUGUAUGCUCGACCUCAAAUGAACUUAGCCUGCAAACCGGGCAUUUAAAACCAAAGGCCUAGGGGAAAGUAAUUUAAAAACGUUAAAGUGAGUGGACAAAAAUAAAUUAAAUAAUUUAACAAAACGUAAAUUAAAUACUUUCCCACAUUAAAUCUUUAAAACCCCAGUGCACGUAACUUUGAUAUAACAUUUAACAUUAAAACCAGGAUUCCAUAAAAGAAUAGACAAACCAGCCCCGCUGGUUAAUCAAAUACGGAUAUCUCAUAACUAGAGAUGAACCAGCCCCGCUGGUUAAUCAAUUAUAUAACUGAGAAAAAUAAAAUAAGGGGAAGAGUUAUCACCAUGUGGAAGGAGCCUCCAAGGCUCUAGUCGAUGCCUCCCAGGCUAUAAUAGCGUCUCACGCUAAGUGCUCAAAUCACAUAUGAUGAGGACCGCUAAUAAGGCUAGCUAGCAAUAAAUAAUAAAUAACAACCCUUACAUGGUGAAAUAAAAAUAUCAUAUAGAGUUCACAAGAUAAAUAUCCCAGCCCACUAGAAAGAGCUCACGGGAGAGGUGUCCCGGCCCACUAGAUCGAGCUCAUGAGAUAAGUAUCCCGGCCCACUCAACCAAGUAAUGCAACAAUACUCAAUGACGUGUCUCACAUGUCAAAAUACACUUGGAUCAAUGAUUGAAGAGUACCGAAAAUCCCAUUUUCGGUAACUUUUUACAAAUCUCCAUGUUGACAAAAUAUAAACGAUAAUUAUAAAGGAGAUAUUUAUAAUUUAAUUGUCGCAUGUAAUUCAUUCAAAAUAAAAGUCCACUCACAAAUUUAGGCAUAAGCCCGACGAUAUCCGAAUCGCCACACAAGCGAGGUUCCCUUAGUAACCUGGCACAAUAACCAUGCUUAGAACCAAACUUCAAUUCCAUAAAAUAAAUACUUAAAUAUAAACACUAAAACUCUUCCGCUUAACUCACUACCCUUACUAGGGUUAAGCUCACUGGAUUCCCACCAAACUCCACCACAACCUUAAUUCAUCAAUUCUAACAUUCUAGAAUAAAUACCAAGGAAAUCCAACGGCCGGAUUUUCAUUCUAACAACUGUCAAAAUUCUCAAUCUUUGAAAAAUCCCAAACCUAACCAAAACUCCUCAAAAUAUUCCAAACUUCACAUCAUUAAACUCCUCUCAUUAAAAAAAUCUCAAAAACAUGAAAAGCUACCCAUAAGGGGCAGCGCCGUCGCCUGCUCCGCCGGCAUCGGCGGCCGGAAGUCGAACUCCGGCGACCUCUAAUGCUUCCCAAAUUUUAACACAACACUCCUCUCAACCCGCACAACAACUUCCUUAACUACCACGAUUUCCAAUUCUAAGCCUAGCUAGGGUAAUAGAACCAAAAUAAUGAAAUAGCCCUAGAACUUCAAUUAUACAUUACUCCAUAACCAGAUCGAAUUGAACCGAUUCCUUUUGAGGGAUUACUAACCUUGAUGAGAGCUACAAGAUGAGCCAAGAUUUAUGAGCUAUGGUGACCGGAGGAGGGAGCUCCGGCGAGUUGACAGUCGGCGUCUCGGACGGAUUUUCUCUCGAUCGGCGACGUGGCAGGCUUGCUCUCCAACCUAGGAAGAAAGAGGGCACGACUGGGGUUCGAACGAGACCGGGCCGGCGGUCUAAGCUGGCCAGACGGCGGCGGAUGAGGGCAGGGAGUUUCCGGCAAGAGGAGAGCUUGGAGGGACUCGGGAAAGAAGAGAGAGAAAGAAAAUAAAGGGGUUGGGCUUUCUCCCACCCGGUCCAACCUUAAUACCCAACAAUAAAACCCCAUAAAAUUACCUUUUUACUAAAUAAAGUCUUCCCCUUUUUACUCGGUAACUUUUUCAUGCUAACUUCGAUUUUAAUGUAUAGCAUGUCCACGAACUUGUAUUAACGUCCACUACGACCUCCUUUCAAAAAUUGUUCCCAAAACAAUUUCCUACAAAAAGUCAACUCUAGGGUCCUUAAAUAGUAAACGGUUACUCAAAGCGGUGAAAGCCAAAGUAAUAUCAAAAGUAAAUAACCGUAAUUUAAUUUAAGAACCAGGAUGUGACAUGGUAGAUUAUUCUUGUUUUAAAUAUAUAUAUCCACGUCUGUAUGUGUGAAAGACACGUUAUGAUCAUGUGAUAUUGUGAUGUUGAAAUAUGGGUGUUGAUAGAUUAUUCUAGUGGGAAUAUCUAUGUUUGUUCAUAUAAAUAUAUCUAUGUAGAAGGAUAUAAUUUAUGAUGUGCUCUUUGUGUUGUUGAUGAUUAUAUUUUUAUAUCGUGAAUUGUUAUUUAAAUAGUCAAACCGGGUUCCAAGUCUUUAAUCGGGUGAUUGAUUACGAUUAUGAUGAUAUUAUUAUUUUGAGAUUUGAUAAGUGUUAUGAUGGGAGAGUAAUUGAAUGUGUGCCUUAGUGGUGAUUGUGUGAAUUAGAUUAGGAGCCUUCGUGGUGGACCGGGAACCAAGCCUUGGCCGGGUGAUUGGUUACGGUUAGUUUAGAGCUCUAGUCUGUCUGUUGGUACUUCAUGGGGGAUGACUAAGUGUUGACGAACUCAUAAGUAAGAGUAGAGAAAUGAUUGUGUGAUGUUCUUAUGUGUUGUCAUUUAAAUUCCUUGCUUUGAGUAUCUCCUGAACUGUGCUUAUCCGCAGGAGAUUCUUUUAUUUUAACUGUGUGAUUUUAAUGGAAUUCCUGAACUAUGCUUUUUGCAGGAUUCAUUUAUGAUUUUGAGUGAUUUUGAAUUGUCGUGGUGACAAGACCCGCCCCGAAAACACAUAGAAAAACAGGCAAGUCUUGCGGGAUCCACUCUUAAAAGAGAUUAUACCGAAAUUUCGGCAUAAUCUCCCUUAAAAAGGGACAACCCAACAUGCGAGAAAAGAACCAAGAACACUUCAACUAUAUCAAACAACCACAUCUCCUGGAGUCCUUCGCUCCCCACAACAAAAUCCAAGUCAUAACAGCACUUAACCAAUUCAAACCCAAUAUUCGACUACGAUAUUUAAACACAAACUCCAACCAAAGUUAAACUCCCUACUUGGGUCAUAACCCUUAAAAAUAACUCCAACUUAUUUUACAUAUCCCGAUGGUCAUCAUAGCACUACAAGAUUGAAAUAUAAUACAACACAUAGGUAACCUACGGUCAGCAAGGUGCAGCGGAAAACUAUGCCUCAACUCCUAGUGAAACCGAACAGGAGCUCUGCAAUCUGGGCAUUUGAAAACAAAGGGCCCAGGGAAGAGCAUUUAAAACGUUAGCGUGAGUGGACGAAGAUAAACUAAUUAAUAAGUAUCCAAGAGCAUAAAGAUACUAAAUCAAAUUUUUAUAUGCUUUUCCAUUUAUACAGAAUUCAAGAAUUUUCAUGCAUGCAAAUAUUAUAAACUCAACAAAAAUUCACACUAGCCCUGCUAGUCAUAAAACAAUAAGAAAAAAAAUAAAUAGAUUUCUCAUUCAAGAAACUUUCAAAAUAAUGGACUAGCCCCGCUAGUCAAAUUAACAACUCAAAUAGAAUAUCCUAUAUGGCCAUAUAAGUGAGUCUCCCAGACUCGGUUGUCUCCCAGGCAUUGUACUCCCAUACUCCCUGUAUCUUCACGUCGAGUGGACGGAUAGAGCAUAGGGCUUGCGUGAUGCCGCCGGCAACAUCACAUCACCACUAGGGUGGAAAGGGCUUGCGUGACCCCACUUGAAACGUGGGAGUCAUAUCACCUCGAGAGGUGGAACGACAUACUAGCAUUGACAUCAUAUAAUCCAACAAAUAUAGCAUAAGAAAGAAAUAAAUUAAAUUUAAUAACGUGUCCCACACGUUAAAAUGCGCAAAGUAAUAAUUAAGCCAAAUAACCCACAUAUUUCAAAUCUCCAAUCAUGCAUGCAUAUUUCAUUAAAAACAAAAUGUCCACUCACAAUAUAGACGGCUAUGCCUGACGUCGGUCAGAGCCCUCCUCACGUGGUGUCUCCUCUCGUCCUGUACAAAACGAGAUUUAAGAUCCGAGACAAAAAUACAAGAAUAUCAAAUUUAAUAAAAUAGGGCAACGCCAUCCUCCCUCAUUCUACACUCCAAAAACUAAGAAGAACUCCAACCCUUUUUACUAAUCUUCUCCAAUUUUUCCUCAACGUUCUAACACAUAAACAUAAAUAUGGAAAUUCCCAUGGAUGGCUCACCUCUACUUGUCACCAAAAUCAACUUAAAAAUUUCCCAAAUUCCUACCAACAUUUACCAAAAUUUUCAAUACCUCAUUACCAUUCAUUUCUCAUCCAUGGAGCCACAAAAACUAUCCCAAUUUCUAAACACUCUUCACCAAAAAUCACCUUACAAUACAACAACAUUUAUCUCUUCUAGAAACCAUUCAAAAUUACUCAAAACCACCACCAAAUCAGGCAGCAGUCACCGGCAGUGGCGGUCAACCGUCGGCAGUGGCGGUCAACCACCACCACCAAAUCAACUUCAACCAAAAUUAACAAGGCAUACAUCAAACUCUUCCUCUCAUCAAGCCUAACAGCAAUCAUGACUAACACAAACUCUAGAGCUCAAAGAUUAGGCCGGAAAACUCAUUAUAAACUCAAGAACUCAAGAGCUCCGAUUUGCUCUACAUUCCAAAUCGUUCUACCUCUUUUGGGUGGUUGAAAGACUAAUCAAAGAGCUACAAAACCCCCCAAAGAUACCUUGAAUCGGUGGCCGGAGAAGGGAGUUCUGGCAAGAGCAACCACGCGGCAGCAGCGGCGUCACCGCGCCUUAAUGCCGGCGAGUAAGGACCGGUCACCACCCCAGGCUGGACGAGCGGUGUCCCAGCUGCCAGACGAGACCCGUGCGGCGACCAAGCGUGGUCGGACGGCAGCGAUCGGUUGAGGAGAAGCCGGACUGUUCGGGGUUAGGGUCGGGCUCGGGGAGAGAGAAAGGGUGAGGGAUGUGUAUUUUUUGAUUUUUUACCUUAACCAAAAGGUAAGCUCCCUUAAAUGCCUAAGCCCAAAAAUGAGUACUAUUAUUAUUUAACUACCCUUCAUUUACGAACUCUUAUUCGGGUAACUAAAAAUCUAUGAACUCGACUAAACCACCUCUAUUAAGGAUAACAUAAUAAAUUUCUGAAUUGAUUAGCUACCACUAAACCGGAAAUCACAAUAUAAAAAUAAUUACUAGGUUCGGGGUGUAUCACGUGUUUUCUUAAUUACUUCUUUUGAUUUCUCUUGCUUGUAAGUGUUAUCCUGAAUUUAUUUUUAAUACAUGAACUCCUGGUUUUACCUUAUGUGUUGUUGGGUUGAAUCCGUUGAUGGUGAUUUACUCAUACUAGCUUUUAAAGCUUACCGGGUUUGUUAUUUUACAACCUGGUGCACCAAUCCAUGGUGUAGAGGUUGAUUUUCCAGAUCAGGAUUAGCAGAGUUGAGGUUGCGGCAGUUAGACAUUGUUUCUUUUGUUUAUUUUCUAGAUUGCUGUGAGUAUUGAGGGAGGUUUUACUUUAUUCAAAUUAUUUUUACAAGUUGUAAAACUAAAAUGUUGUAUUGUUUGUUUUUCUUUUUGGUUAUCAGGCCUUGAUUUUGGAAAUUUUUUUUUAUCUAAAAUUCGGGGUGUGACACUUCCAACUGAACCUAAACACCUUGCCAGACGCGCUACCACGCGCCACCAUAGGCGGCGGCGAGUGGGCCCCACGCACCACCCUACCAACCNNNNNNNNNNNNNNNNNNNNNNNNNNNNNNNNNNNNNNNNNNNNNNNNNNNNNNNNNNNNNNNNNNNNNNNNNNNNNNNNNNNNNNNNNNNNNNNNNNNNNNNNNNNNNNNNNNNNNNNNNNNNNNNNNNNNNNNNNNNNNNNNNNNNNNNNNNNNNNNNNNNNNNNNNNNNNNNNNNNNNNNNNNNNNNNNNNNNNNNNNACCACCCUACCAACCUUCGAAUGAGGGCAAACUCACAACAGCAAACUUGAAGAACACAACAACUGGAACACUUUUCAUACCUGUGGUCAAAGCCAAAUCGGCUGGAAAGAGACCGGAAACGUUGCCAGAAAAAUGGAAUCCACCACCGCAACUCUACACCGUGAGUCGAGCUUCAAGACCACCAUAAGUCGAACCAGGGCGCCAAGGGGCUUCUAUCCCGAUCGUUUACAUGAGGUCUGAGUUUAGAUUACACUUUGAGUAUUGAAACAAGGAACUACGUCGAGAAUUACAGAGGAGAAGGCAGGAGAAAUCCUAAAACUAGGGUUUGUGUUUGGAGAAGAAUUUCUGAAGGAGAUGAAAGACGUUGUUUUUCUGCGGCCAAGAGCGACCCUUUCACGUCCCCAACUCCUCAUACAUAUAGAGAACAUAUGAACAGCUGCUAUUAGGGUUAGAGAACCUUUAAUUUUCGUCCAUGGGCUCGCCGUUGUGGUCUGGGCCUUGAAAUUGAAGUUCCGGUCCAAAUCAGGAAUUCGGGCAGACUGACCUUUGGUCACUCAAACGGUCAUAACUUGGUCACCAAAAUAGCUAUUGACGAUCUGCGAAAAUUUCUGAAAACUAGACUCUUCUAGCUUUCUGCUGAUAUAAAGUUCAUCUCCUGGAUCGUUGUGAGCUGAUCACAAUUCUCUGUCGAAGUUGACUGACUAUUCCUGGCAGAUUUUAGAUUUCUUUCCUUGCGCCAUAUGGAUUCCUUUUCCUUCAAGAUUUCUCCUCUUGUUAAAGGAAUUACAUAACUAAAUAGGGUCGGAAAUACAUUAAGAACGUUGCAUAGAAUGCACCUAUCACAGCACGUCUGGUAGUUUCCUAGCUCUAGGUUUCGGUGUUAGCUAGCUCUUAUUAUUGUGAGCUUGUUGAGUUAUGGAAAUUCUAGGUUGUGAGCAAGGAUUGCAUGUUAGGACAUUAAGUUUAAUCUUAGGCUUGUGUGAGGGUUGAGUUUAGGUUUGGAGGAUUAGACGCAGCUUUAUUGAGUCGUUAAGUAUGACGACCUUGGAAAGUGUCCUCCCUUGGGCUAAGGGUUAGUUAAGGGUGUUUUGUUAUCCUAAAGUACUUGGUUACUAAGGUUAUUAAUUAUGUAAUUUUAGGUGAUUGGUGAAGUGUGAUUGGCUUGCCUUGGCUCUUUCGUUUGUGGAAGACGCAGCUGGAUUUAUUUAGGUGAGUAAAAUCUAACCAAGGUUCACUUUGGAACCAUUUAUUUAUGGUUACUAUGGUGAAAAUUAUUAUGAUUAUGAUGAUGAUUAUUGUGAUAUUGAUGAUGAUGAUUGUGAUGAUGAUAAUGAUUAUGAUGAUAAAAUAAUAAUGAUUAUGUUGAUGAUUAUAAUUUAAAAAUUAUGUUUUUUAAUUGUUUUAAAAUAUAUGAGCUUGAUCGCUAACGGCUCAUAGGUAAGAUAAAACAAGUUUUCCUUUUAUAUGAUUAUUUUUAAUGUUCAUGUGAUCAUAAUAUUGUUGGUUCUUAAUAGAUUAUUCUUGUGAGAACAUCUAUGUUCGUUCAUAUAAAUAUAUCUAUGUGGAAGGAUAUAAUUUUUAUGAUAUGCUCUUUGAGUUAUUGAUGAGAUAUCUAUGUGGAAUGAUAUAAUUUUUAUAAUGUGCUCUUUGAGUUGUUGAUGAUGUUGAAUUAAAGAAUAUGCUAUUGUUUGUUUUUAAAUAUAUGAGCUUGAUCGCCAACGGCUCAUAGGUAAGAUAAAACAAGUUUUCCUAUUAUAUUAUUAUAUUGUGAUCCGUUGUUUAGAUAAUCAAAUUGGGUUUCUGUCACAUCCCGACCCUUAUAUUUUUACCUUAUUUACUAGCGUGAUGAUAAUAAGAAUUUUACCGUCUUGAUCAUGAGUAAAUAGUUUAAUUGGUCCCUAGAGGGGUUUCGGGGACGAUUAUGUGCGGAGGAUUAUUCGUAUGAGGAAAAUACGACGACGGUAAAAAAUGGUAAUUUUAGCUAGUAAAAGGUAAUUUUUAUUCGGGUAUUAUUUUUCGGGGUGUUUUUAUUUUGGAAGUUUGGGUUAAAAGGGGUGUUGGGUCGGCUGGGCCGAGCCCAACCCAUUUCUUUCUUCUUUCUCUUCUCCCUCUCUCCCGAUUCUCUCUCCUCCCACCCGAUUUUCUUCUCACUACACCCAGCAGAAUUCCGGCCGUCCUCCCGCCGCCGUCCGACCUCCGUUCGCCGCCGGACCGGUCCCGUUCGGUCGGUCUCCCUCCCGCAACAUUCUAGACCGGUGACAGCCCCCUNNNNNNNNNNNNNNNNNNNNNNNNNNNNNNNNNNNNNNNNNNNNNNNNNNNNNNNNNNNNNNNNNNNNNNNNNNNNNNNNNNNNNNNNNNNNNNNNNNNNNNNNNNNNNNNNNNNNNNNNNNNNNNNNNNNNNNNNNNNNNNNNNNNNGGCCACCAAUCCGGGCAAGCUUGGUACGGUUUUGUAGCCCUCCUCCCGUGCAACAACCCCUCCAAGCAGCUCCCUCCCUCUUGAGCUAGGUAAGGAGAAAUGUGGAGUUGAAAUUUCUAGGCUUUUAAGUUAUUUUCGUUCGAUUAGCCUAGUUAGGCUUGGAAUUGGGUGAUGUGUUGGUCAUGAAAGUUGUAGAGGAGAUUGAGAGGAAGAUUCUGUUAAAAUUUGGUAGCAUUUGCAGGUCGCCGGAGUUGGUCGCCGGCCGCCGCUGCCGGCGGAGCCGCUGCUGUUUUGGGAAAUUUUGUGGUUUUUGAUGUAGAAUAUUAAGAGGAUAUUUUUGAGGUGAUUUGUGGAAUUUUUGGUAUGAGAUUUGGAUAGGUUUGUGAAUUUCCGAAGUGUGGUAUUUUUGGCGGGUAAUUAAUGUAGAAUCCGGCCGUUGGAUUUAAGUCGUAUUUUGGGGAGGUUGUAAUUUUACGACUAUUGAGUAUGAUAUUUAAGUUCGGAUCGUCCGAUGUAAGAAUAUCGAAGUUAGGCAAUAAUGAGCGUAAUUAUGGCUCUCGGGUAAUUUGCCUAUUUUGAUUAAAUAUUGGAUUAUUGGUUGGGAAAUUAAUAUUUUAUUUGGAACAGGACGUGAGGAGGCUCGAGCAGACGAGACCCCAGAUCGACAGCAGGCUUAGACCUAAUUUGUGAGUGGACUUUUGUUUUAAAUAAAUGCAUGCUAAGUUCACGAUUGAAUAAUUAAUGUCGUGGAGUAUUUUGCCGUCAAUUAAUUUUGACGCUUUUAUUUCUCUGAGAGAGAGUUACCGAAAAUGGGAUUUUCGGUGAAUAUAAAUAUGUAUUUAUGAGAGAGUAUAUAUAGAAAAAGCUAGCUAGCCAUAUGUGUCUGUCCACCUUAAUGGCGUAGCAUAUAGCCGCAUUAUGGUGUGACGUGAGCGUUGGACGUAAGCGUAGUAGCCCUAUUUGAGUGUUUAAUUCAUAUAGGGGGUAUGGACAUAUAUUUAUACACCCGUCUGUCCACCUUGAUGGCGUAGUGUAGCACCGCAUUAAGGCGUGACGUGAGCGUUGGACGCGAGCGUAGUAGCCCUAUAUAGACCCAUGAAUUUAUAUAGGGAGUAUGGACGAGUGUAAAUACAUACAUAUAUUAUAGAGUCUGAGAGGCUCGAUAUUUUAUGAGAUAAAAGUUUAUCGCUUGCGGCAUGCAUUCGAUUUUUCCUUAGAAAUUAAUUUGGGGAAACAUAAAUAUUUUAUUUAUUAUUUUAUUUUUUGUCCACUCACUCUGACGUUAUUAAAUGUUUUCCCCUGGGCCCUUCGUUUUAAAUUGCCCAGUCUGCAGAGUUCUGGUUGGAUCUAGUAGGAGACGAGGCAUAGUCACCCGCAUUUCUGCCAGUUUUCGCCAGUAGGUUACCUGUUCAACCUACUCGUGUUUUCUUGCUUCCGCUUGUGUUUAGUAGCUCUGAAUACUUUAGAAUUUUUGUAUAUUAUGGGAUGUUCAGAAGUGUUAAAUUAAGAGUGUAAUAUGAAAUUUUUCGAGUUAGGGUUGUCCAUCUGCAAGGGAGAUUUUCUUAAUCUUUUCAGUAAAUUUUCCUUGGAGGUGGUCCCCGCACGACUUACUCUGGAUUUCAGGGUGAAAUUCGGGGUGGGUCGUGUCAGUUUCAACCCUUUAAUCGGGUGAUUGGUUACGGUUAUGAUGAUUCUACUCUAUGGUGAUUUGUUGUGUAAAUAGUCAAACCGGGUUCUAAGCCUUUAAUCGGGUGAUUAGUUACGGUUAUGAUGCUAUUAUUAUUUUGUGAUAUGAUAUUGGACAGUCAAACCGGGUUCCAAGCCUUUAAUCGGAUGAUUGGUUACGGUUAAUUUGCUAUUAUUAUUUUGUGAUGUGAUAUUAGACAGUCAAACUGGGUUCCAAGCCUUUGGCCAGGUGAUUGAUUACGGUUAGGAAUAGAGCUCUAGUCUGUCUGUCACUGUAGGUCAUGGGAGGUACCUUAAGGUAUCUGGGACCCAUAGGUACAUAAAUUGUUGUUGUAGGUCAUGGGAGAUACCUUAUUGGUAUCUAGGAUUCAUGCGUACAUGUAUAUUUGUAAACGUAUUGGUUAUGUGGCUUUAAUAUUUUUCUUAAUUGUUGUCAUUUAAAUUUAUUGUUUUGAGUAUCUCCUGAACUAUGCUUAAUGCAGGAGAUUCUUUAAUCUUAUUUGUAUGAUUUUUAGUGGAAUUCCUUAAUUAUCCUUUUUGCAGGUUUCACUUAUGAUUUUGAUUGUUUGUGAAUUGUUGUGUUUCUUAUUUACUCUCUUUUGAAUUUUAUUGUUUUGAGGCGAUUCCUGAACUAAGUUCUAAAGCAGAAAUUACCGGUCUUAUCUUAUGUGAUGUAGGGUUGCGUUAUUUUUUAGAGUUAUUUAUACAGGCUUUUUAGCUUAUACGGUUUGUUGUUUACAACCCGGUGCACCAAUUCUUUGUGUAAGGGUUAGACUUGCAGGUGAUGAUCAGCAGAGUUGAGGCGGAGGCUUAGUGGCAAAGUAUUUUAGUUGCUGUACACAUGAUAUUAUUAGAUUUGGUAGACAGCAUUAAAUUCAUUUGAGUGUUUUCAUUUCUUGACUUUCAAGUUUAUGUAAAUAAAGAAAUGUAAUAUUUAACUUGAUGUUGAGUUGUGUUGACAUUACAUUUCUGCAAUUGAGUUUAGUCUUCUUUAAAUUGUUGAACAGGUCUUAGGGAAUAUAUUAGUGUGAGUUAUAUCAUGCCCAAAUUUUUUAAAUUUAUCUUUCGAAAAUUGGGGUGUGACAGUUUGGUAUCAGAGCGUAGGUUUGCAGAUUUGGUGAUAAUUAGUACUUGGGAGUGAUGGCCCGACUACAGCGGAUCACCAUCAUACUCUUUGGUACUAUAUGUCAUUGGGUAUGCGGGAGGCAAGGAUGUUGUUUUGAGCGUUAGGUUUCCAGAGCAUAGGUUUGCUCUGUAAGUAAGGAGUGUGAGUGUUGGGUAGCAUUUCUUGAGGAAUAAGAAUCACUAGAUUGACUUCUUUUCAGCUGCCCUCUGCAAAGCUGGAGGAUUGGUGAUUGGUGAGCAAAGUUUAGGAGUGAAAGGUACUUUGUUCUCUCUUCUUCUUCAUGAGAGUGAGCUGUGAUUUUUGGUGUCUUUUUCUGUGAUGUUAUUGUGGUGUUGGGUUUUGAUUAAGUUAUGCAGUUAAGGUCGUGUGUUGCAGUUAAGGCCUUGUGUUUGACUUCUGUUGUAGAUGUGAUGUCAGUGUAGUUUGUGGCUCAUACAUCAUUUUUUAUUGUGGUGGUAGAGAUUCUCUACCAUGUGAUUUGUGUGUUUGACUUCUGUGUGAGCAUUGUUAUGCACCGUAUUAUGCAUCGUAGGAUGUUUGAUACAUCUUUGUUAUGGCGGUGGAAAUUUUAUGUCAUUUUUUUUAAUUGCAUAAUCUCAUGUUAUUUAUAUACAUACAUAUAUAUAUAUAUAUACACAUUUAUUAUGUGAAUCGGUUGAAAUUUGGCUUGAGUGGAAUUGUGUUAUGAAAUGGCAGAGCAGUUAUUGAGUAGUGAUGCGUGUCAUUCCUGUAUGAAUGAGUUUUUGUGUGGAUUUGAUGACUUCGUGAUUUAUGGACUUAGAAUGUAGCAGUGUUGAUUUCUGUUGUGUGGCAAGUUCUUUUGAAAGCUUGUAGUGUCAUAAUGAGUUGACAACGAUGCAAUGCAGAUGUUGUUUUGGUUUGAGUUCACAUUCUUGUGUAGUUUGUGUGUUUUGUUAUGGUUAGCAACGUAGUGGUAGUGAAAUAUGUAGGGACGGGUUUUGUGAACCAUUCAGUUACCACCAAGUGAGGUGGUAGGGUGAGUUCAUGUCGGGCUUCAGGUGACCAAGACAACAAAAGCGGUGUGGUUACGUUCGUUGUUGAUGAUUGACUUGAUUUUCUCGAUGAAAGAAUUCUAUUUUAGGAAUGGGGGGAAAGAACAACCCCCUCUGCCUAUUAUCAAGGUAGUGAACCCGACUCAUCUAGUGAGGUUAAUUUGGGGAGAUUACAAGGCUUAGGGUGGUGAUCUGGUUCGCAUCCUUGGUAACCCUUGUUUCUGUAUAGAUAGCCAUGUGGUGGUAGUGACAUUAUGUAGGGAAGUGUGUCAUAAGUCGAUCAAUUACCACUAGGUGUGGUGUGGUUUAAUGGGUUUAAAUUUCAGGGACGAAAUUUCUUUAAGACGGGUAGAAUGUAAUACCCCGAAAUUUUGAUAUUAGUUUCUAAUAUUAUUUGGGAAUUUUCAAGUUAGAAGCUAGUGUGUUUUAAGGUUCGAAGGAAGAGCGGAGGUGUUCGAGAGAUUUCUUGUUGAAAAUGCUUUAUUUUGAAGGGUCAAAAGUUGACUUUUUAUCCGUAAGUUAUUUUCAAAAAUUUCCUUCAUGAAAGUUGUAGAGUUUGGUGAUACGAGUUCGUAGACAUGCGGCACGCAUAAAACGGAUGUCGUAUGAGAAAGUUACGGUAAGAGGAAGUUAGGGUCCGUUGUGGAAGAGUAUAAAUAGAAAAAAAAUUAGUGGGUUUUAUUUUUAGUAAACCCCAACCUCUCUCUCUCUCUCUCCUCUCUCCCCGAG
rnacentral:lncRNA from 1 species